GACAGAGGGUGCGAACGUUGUUCGGAAUUACUGGGCGUAAAGCGUGUGUAGGCGGCAAGGCAAGUCGGAUGUGAAAUCCCGUGGCUCAACCAUGGACGUGCACUCGAAACUGCCUAGCUAGAGUCCCGGAGAGGAAGGUGGAAUGCUUGGUGUAGAGGUGAAAUUCGUAGAUAUCAAGCAGAACACCUGUGGCGAAGGCGGCCUUCUGGACGGUGACUGACGCUGAGACACGAAAGCGUGGGGAGCAAACAGG
rnacentral:rRNA from 1 species